GGCCCCGUCGUCUAACGGUUCAGGACAUCACUCUUUCAAGGUGAAGAUAGGGGUUCGAUUCCCCUCGGGGCUA
rnacentral:tRNA from 2 species